AAAAAUAUUUGUUUGAGGACAGACCUGCUGGAAAUAUCUGUAUUUUUGAUUAUGAACCUCAGAGAAUUUCCCUUACAUAAAGAAUUCUGUGAGGAAAAAAGAGUGUCACCAUAUUAUACAGACACUGCCCCAUUUGGAACACACUUAAGUGUGGAAAACAUCCAUAUCCUGAGGCACCCCACCUCACCCUCAAUCCCAGCAUUCCUGUCCAGGCCAUCAACACAGGAUGAAAUUGUCUUGAAAUUGCAACUGUGCUUCAUUUCCCAACAAUGUUGCUCUAUGUAUACAAUGAUUCACCUAAUUUUCCACCCACUACUAAUAACAGAAAGUGGUGAAAAUAGAAGAUUUCUGCAUUUUAUUCUCACAAUUAUAAGGAGCAUUUUUGCAUACAGGCUAUAGUCAGUUUUGUUAUCAGGUUUUUUUAAAUGGCAGAGGUAGCAUCUGCCAGACAGGAGUUGGAAGUGAGAGAAGUGGGCGAGGAAAUCCACAGUCACUGACAUGUGUAGUAACUCCUGAGGAACUGAUAUGGAAUUGUGGCCAUCCAGAGGCACCAGUGUCAUUUUGACACUUGACACAUGAAUUUCUAGACAGAUCUGGGUUACUGGCUACCUAUACCUACACCUCGGCAUUCAAGCACCAGCGAGCAUCCAAGAUGGGCCAGAAGCAGGAAGACAGGCUGUCUGCAGAGCAGAAGGGAAGAGGGAAAUGGAAUGCAGCGGCUACACAGUUUGCAGCACACGCUUGUCCAUCUCCUCGUACUGCAGAGCACAGACAGGCCCUGCUGCUGUCCGUGCAGUGUCCCAAACCCUGCUGUGAGGAAUGUCACCAGCCAUUCCUGGGACAGGAGACGGGACAGCCCCCGGCAGUGUCCGGGGCAGUGCGGUCCCAGGGGGAAUCGCCUCUCGGAUGUUCCGGCUGCCAGGGGCACUCAGCGCACGGCGCCCUUCACCGCACAGGCUCUGGCAACUCGGAGAAACAGGCAGCUCGAAUUCAAGCUUGACGUAUUGUGUGUCCGUGAAGAUUAACCAGCUUUAAACGUAUGCUCAUAAGCCUAAUGCAGCCGCACCAACGCUGUUGCAUUUAUGUUUUAUUUCUCUCAAACAUAUACGGGAUAUUCCUGUUUUCUGUAGUCAAAGUCAGCAAUGAAACACUUGACUCCCUCUGGCAUCUUUUAUAUUAAAAAGGAUUUAUCAUUGUAAUACCUGGUCUUAUAGAGGAUCGGUUAAGGGCAUGCUUCACAUUAAAUGCUUGAUGAUUCUGAAGUCAACAAAACUGAUUUUUUUUUUUUUAAUUCCGCCGUUUAUGACCGAAAAGAGGAUGAAAACUUUCGUGGCCCGAGGAAGGCGUUUACCCUGGGAUUGUCCUGAGGUCACUGCGGGAGGUCGAGGCAGCCACAAGCCGCUCCCCCCCAGAGAAAGGGGGAGCUGACGAUGGGAUGAGGACAUCCCGACUGAGGCAGCAACGCCCGCCACGGUGUCCCCCGGUGAUCCCAUAGCCGUCCCGCCCUCUGGGAGGGACUCCGCCCUCACUCAAGAUGGCGCCCGCAGUGUCUCCGACGGGCUCUGACGUCAGCGCGCCCAUGGUGAAGAUGGCGGCUGUUUACCUGCGGCCUCCGCGGAACUUGCCCUUGUCCAACAUGGCUGUCGCUGCCCGAUUACUUCCGCUGGCAGCGGCGCGAGUUUGCCCUCAGUAGAGAUGGUGUAGCGCAGCGCGGAGAGGGCGGGGUGUGCCGGUGCCUGCGGUGAGGGUCAGUGUGCAGGGCGGGCUGGCGGCAGCGGCUGCGUGAGCAGCGCGGAAAGGCGAGGGGAGGGGAGGCGGCGUCGGUGGCCGGGCGGGGGAGAAGGGAGCUCCGGCAGCGCGGCCGCUUCUGGGGAGCUGUGCACGUGUGCGGCCGUGAAAUGGCGGCCGGGGCCUGGGCGCUGCCUGCGGCCCGGGCCCGCUGUGGGGCUGGGUGAUGCCCCGCUUGCCCAGCGCAGCCUGCAGGGCCCCCGCCCGUUGUGUCCCGGCGCCCUGGGUUCUCCGAGAUCCGCCGAUGUUCAGCAAGGGACCGCGUCUGUGCGCUCUAACAAUUUACAGCGGUGCAAAUGAAUUAGUUGUGAGACGCUUCUCAGAAGUUUUCGUCAUAGGAAAAGAUUAAAUAGUCUGAAAACUUCUCCUUUCCACUGCAGCACCACUUGCUAAUUCUUUAUUCAUAUUAGAAAGGACCGUUUCUGUUUUGUAAGAUAGUUUAAGUAUUUGGCAUAACCAGAAAGCUGUAAGUCAAAGGUGAAAAUACAGUUGUUAACUUCUGCAGGUGUUAACCUGUGUGUACUAAAUUGUGUACGCAAUACAAAUAUACAAAAUUGUGUGUAUACCUGCAACCUGUGUGUAUAACUUAGGGCACUACGUGGAGGCUGUAUGGGACUAAUAGUCAGCUAGUGUUGGAAUCAAGUAAUAAAGUUGUUUCUGCCAGCUGUCCUUGUACUGGUAGUAUUCAGAAAUGCUGCAUUGCUACUAUCAUAAGUUGUGCUAAUACAUCUCAGAAGUUACUUUAUGAUAGUGAUCUGAACUGCCUUUUCUUGACAGAUGCACACCAAUGGCACACAGCACUGAGUUCCCAUGUGAAUAAUCAGCUCCAUACCUGGCUUCUUUUGGAACUCAUGGGUUUUGCCAGUACUUCUAAUCUAGCACUUCACCAGAGGCACUUCUGACAGUUUCUCAGUGU
ensembl:lncRNA